GCGUGAAGGGUAGCUCAGUUGGAAGAGCAUAAGCCUCUGAAUCUCAGGAUCGGCGGUUCAAGCCCCAUGUUGGGCA